rnacentral:sRNA from 1 species
AGCGGCCGUCGGUGCAGAU